GAUUGCACAUUCACACUACCUCUCUGUAAUCGCGGCUG
rnacentral:ncRNA from 1 species